GGAAGUACCGCGUUUCUUCCGUCCCGGCAUGCAGAGAGUAGGAAGCGGGCGGAAGCCAGCGGCUCUCGCGACGAUUUGCUUAGAGCUUCGCCAGGCUCCAAUGGGGGUGGCUCUUAAAGGGCGAGGCACGGGGGUCGUCGUAUUUUGCUUUUUCUUGAGUGAACAGGGUAGGCACCUGAAGCUCUGCGACACAAGAGAGGAGCUUGGGGCUCGACGCGCACGUCCAGUGUUGCUUCAGAAGGCUCAAAGGAACGUCUCGGGCUAAGCGACUUCGCUGACGAAGUGUUUGGGCCUGUGUGCGUCACUGCUUCGAGGACUAGUGUUCAGAAUCCUGGCCAGUGAGCCCGGAUCAGGAGCCUGAACUACCUGGUCCGCGACCCUCAUCCACAGGGGCGAAGGAGGCACGUUCCUUGUCGCUCUGUAUGGGUUCACUCUGGACUUGGAACUGUGUGAGGUUUAAGAAAGCAGGAGUGUCUGAGAUAGGAGACCUGCGGUAUUUUGACUCCACGUAUAUAGUUUGGUCUGAGCUGUCUAGUCUUGACUCCAUGUAUGUUUGGUCUGGAGCAAAAUUGGUAGCUGUAUAUAUUAGAACUUUUUUGUAUUUGAGCUAAAUUUUUUUAGUUGGCCAUUUGGUCCCUCUCAUCUCGGGUUCAUUCAAAUAUUUGAACCCAGACCGUGUGCUACAUUCUGUUUUCCUGAGGAUACAGGAGUGCAUCAGACAGCUCCAGGCAGUUCAACUGUAUCCCCAAAAGCUCAUUUGCCUAAUUGCUGCAAAUUCACCAUCUCUGCAUUUAAACUUGGAUUCCAUCAAUGCAUUAGAGGCAAAGGCUCUGACAGGAGAGAAUUUUGGAAGGAAUGGAACGGGAAGCUAAUUUAAUGAAUUUCUGGGUUGGUGAAUGCAUCCUUGAACUAGGAAGAUUCUGUACUCCAACUCUACAGGAAUAGAAAUUCCUGCACUCAGAGGACGCUCAUGAACCAAACUCUUGUGUACUUCUUCAUUUGGCUGUCCAUGUGCAUCUGUUGUAAUAUCCUUUAUAAUGAAAGGCUAAAUUGAAAUAAAGUUUCCCUGAAUUCUCUGUUCCA